AGUUAGGAGAACACUAGAAAAACUAGGAGAACACUAGAAAAACUAGGAGAACACUAGAAGAGUUAGGAGAACACUAGAAGAGUUAGGAGAACACUAGAAGAGUUAGGAGAACACUAGAAGAGUUAGGAGAACACUAGAAGAGUUAGGAGAACACUAGAAGAGUUAGGAGAACACUAGAAGAGUUAGGAGAACACUAGAAGAGUUAGGAGAACACUAGAAGAGUUAGGAGAACACUAGAAAAACUAGGAGAACACUAGAAGAGUUGUUUGGAGAACACUAGAAGAUUUAGAACACUAGAAGAGUUAGGAGAACACUAGAAGAGUUAGGAGAACACUAGAAGAGUUAGGAGAACACUAGAAGAGUUAGGAGAACACUAGAAGAGUUAGGAGAACACUAGAAAAACUAGGAGAACACUAGAAGAAAGAGUUGGAGAACACUAGAAGAGUUUGGAGAACACUAGAAAAACUAGAACACUAGAAGAGUUAAGAGAACACUAGAAGAAUUAGGAGAACACUAGAAGAGUUGUUUGGAGAACACUAGAAGAAUUAGGAGAACACUAGAAGAAUUAGGAGAACACUAGAAGAAUUAGGAGAACACUAGAAAAACUAGGAGAACACUAGAAGAGUUAGUUGGAGAACACUAGAAGAGUUUGGAGAACACUAGAAGAGUUUGGAGAACACUAGAAGAGUUAGGAGAACACUAGAAGAGUUAGGAGAACACUAGAAGAAUUAGGAGAACACUAGAAGAGUUGUUUGGAGAACACUAGAAGAGUUGUUUGGAGAACACUAGAAGAGUUUGGAGAACACUAGAAGAGUUAGGAGAACACUAGAAGAGUUAGGAGAACACUAGAAGAGUUUGGAGAACACUAGAAGAGUUUGGAGAACACUAGAAGAGUUAGGAGAACACUAGAAGAGUUGUUUGGAGAACACUAGAAGAGUUUGGAGAACACUAGAAGAGUUUGGAGAACACUAGAAGAGUUAGGAGAACACUAUAGAAAUAAAUGAGUCUCAUGGAUUGUUUCAUGUUUGACACUAUGGAAUAAUGUCUCAGAUAAAAGCAUGCAACUUUUCACCAGAUAAGCACAGAACAGAGAUUAACAAAAAGUAUCGUUUUUAUUUCACAACUUUGGAAUUGCCUUGGAAAAGUGCCAGUUUACUGGUACUCUGCAACUGUGGAACUUUCUGACAUUGAAGAACAUUGUACCAUAGCAGAGCUAUAAGACUGGGCCCCUCUAUCCCAGCACCUGUGUUCCAUAUACACAGACACAUCAAUGACACAUAGACAUACAGUAGAUAGAUGCUGUAGGUAUAGUGAUACAUGUAAAUAUAUAAGAUAGAUAUAGUGAUACAUAUCGUAGAUUCUAUAGCUAUAGAUAGACCCACAGUAGAUAGAUAUACUGGUGCAUAGAUAUAGUGAGACCUAGACACUGAAGCCAUGUUCGCUCUAUGUGCCACGACUCUCCUGUACUUCCUGUCUUUUAGCCAAUCAGCUCCUGCUGCAGCUCUAGCCUGUGAGGACCUCCUUAAGCCCAUGGAUCCACCACGACUAGACCAGCAGCUCUUGAGGAGAUGGGCCCUCGUCGCAGGCAGCUUGAGCCACCCUGCAUCCCUGGAGAGUCUCAAGACCAGAGACGGCAUCACCAUGGAGUUUUCACCCUCUACCCCCAACACCACCCAGAACUCCAACACCGCCACAACCGUCCACUACACCCAGACUAACCGUUUUGGCAGCCGUUGCGAGUCUCUAACCUACAAUAUCUCACUCAUCAACGACAACAGCACCUUCCAAUUCAACGUGGGGGGCCGAUUCAACCUCACUGGGGUCUUCCUGGAGACCUCCUGCCCAGACUGUCUGGUGAUGAAGUGGGUCAUUUAUAGAAUUGUACAUUUGAGCCAUUUAGCACACACUCUUAUCCAGAACAACUUACUGUUAGGGGUUAUUCCAGUGUUUUUCAACUCUGGUCCAGGUGUACCCACGUUUCUGUUGGAGAUCCACACAAACACACCUGAUUCUACUAGUCAACUAAUCACCAAGGCCUUGACAAGUUGAGUCAGGUGUGGUUGCCCAGGGCUACAGCAAGAAUGUGUACUGUUGGGGGGUAGAUUAGGGCUGGAGUUGAGAAACACUGGUGUAGGCUAUUCAGGUCAGGUAGGUAGAAACAACCACAUACUGCAUUACAAUCACUGCAAGUAAACCGUUCUUCAAAACACCCACUGGGCACAGAAGUCAUUUCACUGAAAUGACCCGUAACCCUAACCCUAACCCCUGAAAUGACCCCAAACCCUAACCCAAACCCUAACCCCUGAAAUGACGUGGAAACAACAUUGAUUCAACCAGUGUGUGCCCAGUGGAUAGCCUCUAUCCCCCUCAAACUCAACUCUGGACCUCUAAUCAGGGACUGAUUUAGACUUGGGACACCAGGUGGGUGAAAGUAAUUAUCAGGUAGAACAGAAGAACCAGCAGGCUCUGGAUCUCGUAGGGUAAGAGGUGAAUACGCCUGCUCUAUCAGCUAAACCAGUGCCAGGAAGAAGAACAAGUGCCGGUGUGAGUACAAGGAAAGUACAACAGUAAAGUAUCAUUAUUAUUUUAGGUGGGAGGUGAGCUCCAGGAGGAGGGAGUCCACGGACCUGUACCUGCUGAGGAAGACGGAGGGUGGGAGAGAGGUGGAGGAAGAGGAGAUGGAAGAGUUCAGGAAACAGGUGGAGUGUAUGGGGCUGCCGCCGCCAGUGGUGAUGGAGCCGGGGGAUGCCCACUGUGGGUCCUAUCAGCUGCCCUGGAAACACUGAGGAGGAGGAGAAGACGAAGCUCGAUCAGAGUGAUCCGAGAGUGGGGGCCGUGAGACCGAUGUAGAGACACGUUUUCUGUCGUCUGUUUUGUAAUCCAACAUUUCUGUGUUUACUGUUUGUCGAUGACCUGUAGAAUUUUGAGGGGGGGAAAAAGAUGCACGAUUUGUCAUAUUAUUCUGUCUUCUUUGCUUCUUUAACAGAUGUAAUUACGUUCACAGACUGAUUUAAUGUCCCAGAGCUGCAGCUAAUUCACAGAGACAGUGGGAUCCAGCAGGAAUGUCGGGGCGUCAUUAGGACUCUAUGCACAAUGGGAAAGAAAAGUCUUUUAGAAUUGGAUUCCUUUUGUAUAAUUUGGCAUAACCUCAUUUUUCCACGUGCAUUAAAGUGCUCAUACUGUUAAUUCUCAGAUUAAACUGGAUGGAACCGUGAACAAUUUGUCAUUUGUGAGUGAGAGAGUGUUUCUGCAGAUGUGGGCGUGCACAAGCAAGGGGGGAAAUGUGGGUGUGAGUACGGACAUGGACACGGCCAGGGAGAGAGUAACCUACUUUCAGAAC
ensembl:lncRNA